AUGGACAUGAGGGCCCCUGCUCAGCUCCUUGGUCUCCUGUUGCUCUGGUUUCCAGGUGGCAGAUGUGACAUCCAGAUGACCCAGUCUCCAUCUUCCCUGUCUGCAUCUUUGAGAGACAGAGUCACCAUCUCUUGCCAGGCUAGUCAGAGUGUUGGCACAUAUUUAUACUGGUUCCAGCAGAAACCAGGGAAAUCUCCUAAGCGCCUGAUCUAUCGGGCAUCCAACUUAGCAGAUGGGGUCCCAUCACGGUUCAGUGGCAGUGGGUCUGGGACAGAUUUUACUCUCACCAUCAGCAGCCUGGAGCCUGAAGACAUUGCAACCUAUUACUGUCUUCAGACUGAUGAGUUUCCUCCCACAGUGAUACAAGUCAUUACAUAA